UCUCUCUGCUGAUCCCCGCGACCUGCGUUUUCCUGGGGUUCCGGAACUCUGGACCCAAGGCACCGACCAGCCCCUCAGGAGGGCUCAUAUCUCAUCAGAGAACCUCUUAUGCCCAUGUCCACCCAUAAGCAGAUGGCCUCCCCCCAACCAUGAGGAUUUUUAAUGGGGUGAAAAUGCCAGUUCCCGAAGCCAGGGUUCUUGGACCCCCAGGGCCGAGCUGGGCGCGGGAGACCCUCAGGGGCGGGGAGGCCGGCCGAGGUAGGUGGAGGAACUAUUUCUUGACGUAAUCCGUCUCUGUCGGCCCUGACGCUCCCGCAGUCCCUGCGCGAGCGGAGAUCAGCGAUUGUCAGUUCGGAACGUGGCUUUUAAAAAUGCGUUUUUAAAUAGUGUCUUGAAGAAGUGGAGGAGAGAUCUACACAACUUUAGUGGGGCAUCCCCAUCCCACCUUCCUGCUCUUCCUCUUUUGCCCCCACCUCCAUCUCUGAGACACCUUUUCCCCCCAAAAAGAAGUCACUCCCAGGUUCUAUCUGCAAAGAGCCAGGGUGAGAGCGGGCAAGGCGAGAGAGCGACCUCGGUCGUGGGCAAGUAGCUUGUUUUUACGUCCUUCAAUAAAAUUUUUAUGAGGAUCA